rnacentral:rRNA from 1 species
GGGUGAGUAAUAUAUCGGAACGUGCCUGGUAAUGGGGGACAACUAGUCGAAAGAUUAGCUAAUACCGCAUACGCCCUACGGGGGAAAGAGGGGGCUUCGCAAGAACCUCUCGUUAUCAGAGCGGCCGAUAUCUGAUUAGCUAGUUGGUGAGGUAAAGGCUCACCAAGGCUUCGAUCAGUAGCUGGUCUGAGAGGACGACCAGCCACACUGGGACUGAGACACGGCCCAGACUCCUACGGGAGGCAGCAGUGGGGAAUUUUGGACAAUGGGCGCAAGCCUGAUCCAGCAAUGCCGCGUGAGUGAAGAAGGCCUUCGGGUUGUAAAGCUCUUUUGUCAGGGAAGAAACGGUCUUGGUUAAUACCUGGGGCUAAUGACGGUACCUGAAGAAUAAGCACCGGCUAACUACGUGCCAGCAGCCGCGGUAAUACGUAGGGUGCAAGCGUUAAUCGGAAUUACUGGGCGUAAAGCGUGCGCAGGCGGUUUUUUAAGACAGGUGUGAAAUCCCCGGGCUUAACCUGGGAAUGGCAUUUGUGACUGGAAGGCUAGAGUGUGUCAGAGGGGGGUAGAAUUCCACGUGUAGCAGUGAAAUGCGUAGAGAUGUGGAGGAAUACCGAUGGCGAAGGCAGCCCCCUGGGAUAACACUGACGCUCAUGCACGAAAGCGUGGGGAGCAAACAGGAUUAAAUACCCUGGUAGUCCACGCCCUAAACGAUGUCUCUAGUUGUCGGGUCUUAAUUGACUUGGUAACGCAGCUAACGCGUGAAGUAGACCGCCUGGGGAGUACGGUCGCAAGAUUAAAACUCAAAGGAAUUGACGGGGACCCGCACAAGCGGUGGAUGAUGUGGAUUAAUUCGAUGCAACGCGAAAAACCUUACCUACCCUUGACAUGGCUGGAAUCCUUGAGAGAUCAGGGAGUGCUUGAAAGAGAACCAGUACACAGGUGCUGCAUGGCUGUCGUCAGCUCGUGUCGUGAGAUGUUGGGUUAAGUCCCGCAACGAGCGCAACCCUUGUCAUUAGUUGCUACGAAAGGGCACUCUAAUGAGACUGCCGGUGACAAACCGGAGGAAGGUGGGGAUGACGUCAAGUCCUCAUGGCCCUUAUGGGUAGGGCUUCACACGUCAUACAAUGGUACAUACAGAGGGCCGCCAACCCACGAGGGGGAGCUAAUCCCAGAAAG